rnacentral:tRNA from 1 species
GGGGUUGUAGCUCAGUGGCAGAGCGUCUCGUUUGCAUCAGCGAAAUUGUUCAAACUUCGAGAAGGUCUGGGGUUCAAUCCCCCACGACUCCA